rnacentral:rRNA from 1 species
CCUACGGGUGGCAGCAGUGAGGAAUAUUGGUCAAUGGGCGCGAGCCUGAACCAGCCAAGUCGCGUGAGGGAGGACGGCCCUACGGGUUGUAAACCUCUUUUGCCGGGGAGCAACGGGCGUCACGUGUGGAGCCACUGAGAGUACCCGGAGAAAAAGCAUCGGCUAACUCCGUGCCAGCAGCCGCGGUAAUACGGAGGAUGCGAGCUUUAUCCGGAUUUAUUGGGUUUAAAGGGUGCGUAGGCGGAUCGUUAAGUCAGUGGGUAAUUUGAGGGGCUCAAACCCUUCCCGGCAGUUAAACUGGCGCGCUGGAGUGGAAGAGAAGUAUGCGGAAUGCGUGGUGUAGCGGUGAAAUGCAUAGAUAUCACGCAGAACCCCGAUUGCGAAGGCAGCAUGCCGGCUUCCGACUGACGCUGAAGCACGAAAGCGUGGGGAUCGAACAGGAUUAGAUACCCGUGUAGUC